rnacentral:rRNA from 1 species
CAGUAGCCACGGGAAUACGAAGGGGGCUAGCGUUGCUCGGAAUGACUGGGCGUAAAGGGCGCGUAGGCGGCGAUCAAAGUCAGGCGUGAAAUUCCUGGGCUCAACCUGGGGGCUGCGCUUGAUACUGGGUUGCUUGAGUGGGGAAGAGGGUCGUGGAAUUCCCAGUGUAGAGGUGAAAUUCGUAGAUAUUGGGAAGAACACCGGUGGCGAAGGCGGCGACCUGGUCCUUUACUGACGCUGAGGCGCGAAAGCGUGGGGAGCAAACAGGAUUAGAUACCCCUGUAGUCCCUGUCUCUUAUAC